AUCACUCCAGGAAGUCACAUAAUCUUUUUUGUUGUAAGUGGAGCUAGAGCCUUGCUCCCAGUCUGGGGCUCAGCACCCAGAGCUGUCUGGCUGGGUUUACCUGCGGGGCAGUGGGCAUUUCCUGCAUCUAGGGACUGCAGAGCAUGUGGGUGGGAGCUCCCAGGCUCAGAAAGCCCGACUGGUUGGUUCCAGCCUGGGCAUGUGGCCCUCGCUCCCUGGCAGGCGUUCCACGAAGAGGUAUUUUUGGAAGGUGCAGGAAUUCUGUAGCCAUUUGGAAAAUGCCUGCUCAUAGGCUAGGCUGGAUUUUCAUUUUAAAAUGCUGAUGUGGCCGAGGGGCCUGACCUGGCCACUUUUCCUGGAUCUAGGGGUGGGGAAAGUGCAGAGGCAUGCUCUUUUCUUUUCCUUUUCUUUAAAUUGUAUCACCAUUUUCUAUCUGUCUCACAUCCCUCUGUCCCACAAGCUUCAAGAGCACUGUGCGGUGUCACCUGGGACUUUGAUGCUAUUUGUAGGUUGUUUUGCUGGCAUAUCAUUUUUCAUAGUAAUUUCUUAUAAUCCUUUGUAUGUCUGCAGUGUUGUUAUUUGUCCUCUUUCAUUUUUCAUUUUAUGUAUAUUUUUUUUUCUUUAUUAACUUGAAGAGUCUGGCUAAAGGUUUAUCAAUUUUCCUUAUCUUGUCAAAGAUUCAGCUCUUAGUUUCAUUGAUCUUUUGUGGGUUUUUUGUCUUGAUUUAAUUAAUUUUGCUGUUUGUUAUUUCCUUCCUUAUAUUAACUUUGGGCUUUAUUCUUUUUUCCCCCAUAAUUCUUUAGGUGUAAGUUUUGAUUGUUUAUUUGAGAUUUUUCUUGUUUCUUGAGGUAGGCAUGUAUUGCUAUAAAUUUCCCUCUUAGAACUGCUUUUGCUGUAUCCCAAAGUUUUGGACCAUUGUAUUUCCGUUUUUAUUUGUCUCCAUGUGUUUUUUUAUUUCCUCUGAUUUUUUCAUUGACCUAUUGGUUGUUAAGUAGCAUGUUGUUAAACCUCCAUGUGGUUGUGUGUUUUUCUAGUUCUUUUCUUGUGGUGGAUUUGUAGUUUCAUACUAUUGUGGUUGGAAAAGAUGCUUGGUAUUGCUUUAGUCUUUUAAAACUUAUUGAGACUUGUUUUGUGGCCGAAUGUGAUCUGUCCUGGAGAAUGUUCCAGGUGCACUUGAAAAGAAUGUAUGUAUUCUGUUGUCUUUGGAUGGAAUGUUCUGUAUCUCUCUAUUAAGACCUUCUGGUCUAAUGUAUCAUUCAAAGCUACUGUUUCCUUAUUGUCUGCCUGUAUGACCUAUCCAUUGAUGAAAAUGUGUUAAAAUCCCUUACUAUUCUUGUAUUCCUAUUAGUUUCUCCCUUUAUGUCUAUUAAUAUUUGC
rnacentral:lncRNA from 1 species